GACAGAGGUCCCGAGCGUUAGGCGGAAUCACUGGGCUUAAAGCGUGUGUAGGCGGAUUGGUAAGUACCUUGUGAAAUCCCACGGCUUAACCGUGGAACUGCUUGGUAUACUGCUUAUCUUGGGCCACUUAGGGGUUACCGGAACAAACGGUGGAGCGGUGAAAUGCGUAGAUAUCGUUUGGAACGCCAAUGGCGAAGGCACUUUACUGGGCUAUUACUAACACUGAGAGACGAAAGCUAGGGUAGCAAAUGGG
rnacentral:rRNA from 1 species